GGCGGCGGUAAACUUUCCCCCAGUGGAGCACAAUAAUUUCGUGGCGAGUGGAGAAGGCGAUAUCGAAAAAGAUCAGGACGGCUGCCAGAUCCAGUGAGUGAAAGUUAACGUAGCAAAUCGGCUGCGAAGAACAAAAGACAUCGAAUCUUCAUCUGAUUGGGAUUAAUUGCAAUUAGCUACCUUAUUUGUCAUUGUUACUCAUCUGUAAGUUCACAAAAGGUUAACAAAUCACAGCAGUCUACUGUUGCUGGCUGGCACAAGCUGACUUCCAAUGUAUAUAUACAUAUAUAUAUAUAUAUAUCUAAAAUUUUCGACAGAAGGACCGCGUUCGACUAGAGAUUCUGCAGCAUGACAACCAACGUGUUUAUCCAUCAGAUACAAAGAUCUGCAUUUUCACUUUUCAAAUAGAUAUUAUAAUAAUCUGCAGCAGUUAUAGGUGAUAUUGAUCUAUAAUCAAUACAGCGGAAACAAAUAGCGCCAAUACUACAGGUUGUAUCUUUGGUGGCCAUGCGUCCUACCGCACUAAAACCCUAUGCAUAAGGUAAAAAAUCAUAUGCGUUCAUUUAACUACGAUGUCAACAAUCGCUAUUAAAUUUAAUUAUUCAACCAGUGGAUUUAUUGCGUAGCAGCUAGACAAUCAAUCAGGCUCUAGAGCGUCCACCAACAGCUCAAGCAUCUUCAUAAUCUAAAGCGCGAAACUUUUGAAUCUCCUUUAACGGCCAACUCACCUGUCUUCGUACGGCCAUUAGUACUAUCUGGUUACUUUAACAUACGGUUUGUUUGUCCUUUGCAGCAUAGAACAUGUCCGUGCAUCUUGCUAGUAUUACGCUAAAGAUGUCACUCCUUCGACAAUACGAAGCCAAACAAGUUUUUUUGGACUCCGCACCAAAUUGAGUAGGUUAGGUCAGGUAGCUUGCUUUAUUACUUAAAUAUCAUGAUAAAAUUUGCGGCUGCUGCAGACGGCCACUUUCGCCAACGAGCAGAAGUAUCAUACAAUGGUUGAUCUGUUCUCUCGUAGCCAUUGACUCGACAGAAAGUACUGAGCUCACGUAAAUCCUAACGGAACAUCUGCGAACUGCAGCGUACUUGGAGACGACACGAAAAUUGACCUUUUUAUACCUGCGCAGUGAAAGGGAUAUUCUUCGAAUUUCUAUUGAUUUCCUCAGUUCGUGGAACUUGAGUACUCUGCAUAUCAGCCCAACUUGUUGGAGUCAAUCUGUAGAAUAUACUGUUCCCAGUAGAAGCGCCACACAGGAAUUAAGGUCGAAUUUGUAUAUUUACCGCUGCCGUUUACCUUUGGUACCACCAGCGCUACAAAUAUAUGAGGAGAACUUGACAUACAUCUAUGAAGGCCAGCUGCGUUGCCAAAUUCAUUUGUGUCCGUCACAAAUAUUGCGGGAAGUUGAAAAGCUCUCAUGUCACGUACACUUCAUACAGGUAUGAAUUAACCUACAUAUCCGGUUGUCAACUUACUUUCUACAUGUUGUAUGUACAUCGUGUAUAUUUUUCAUGACUAGAACCGGGUUCAUUCUUAAAGAUUAAAUGGAAGAAGCUACCAUGAUCAUUAUAUCUGAUUGAUUGUCGGUAGCCGGCUGUAGUAAUAAUGUGUUAAGGAUCCACACCGUAGAAUUUAGAGUAACUGAUUACAGGCUUUCUACCCGUACAUAUAUGAACUUGGCUUAAACUAGCAGGUAAAUAAAUAUUCGAAAAUUACUAGAUGCUUGAUUUUCAUAUAAUUAUUCCAUGUCUGACUAAACCGUUGACAUUCGCCCUUGUUAUUAGCGUGAUUACGAUAGGCAAAGGGCCUCCUCGAUCUGGGGCAUUUAGAAAUGUCAACGAUCGUCGUACUCUGGCCACAGCGGAGUUUUCCAUGUCGGUUGCGUUAUUAGACACAGAUGUUUAUGGGGUAACACGAUAAUUGUACAUGACCAGCGAGUAUAUGUAUGGAUAAGUACACUCUGAUUUGCUUUGACUGCCGGUUAUACUAGCAGCUGUAGUCACCGAAGGUUGAGUAAACAAGGGAUUGACAACAAAUCGACGUAAACGUUUUACCAAACCGCUUCGCGGUACUAACAAAAAUAUCCACCCAUCAGUUCCGCUUCGUGGAACUCCUAUAAGCACUGUGUGCGAGGAUGUAAACGUAAUAUUCGCGCGCACCUCGGAGGUGUAUAUAGGCACACCUGUAUCCGUCACAAGGACCCAGGUGUAUAUAGGCACACCUGUAUCCGUCACAAGGACCCAAGCCAAAAAAGACUGUAUCUAAAAUAUAUGGUCGUACUCGGUACGUUCAGCCUGAUAUAAUACAUUGUUGUAUACAUUGAAAACACAGGAAGUUCGCGCAACAAGCUACUACUUGUGCGUCGGACCCACUGAACGGUAACUCCUUUUUUCCAAUGAGUCUAUCAUUGCGUACUCAUCAUUAUAAGCUAUGUGUCUGCGCUCGUAAAAGUCAGCCAACUGGAAUCCAGGCCGAAAGAGCCGUGGCUUUUAAAUCGCCUAAGCAAAAACAAGCUAGUUCGAUAAAGCCGUAUUACUAAUAGCUUAUGAAUUCCGUUUUCAUUUAAUUAUCGACCUGGACCUAUAAAAAUCAUCUGGACCGAUAUUAAUGGGCUAUUUUCUUUUAAUAUUUACUUAUUAAUUAAACUGCUAAUUGACGAUCAGUAUUUUAAGGAAUGAUGAAACUGACUGCAUGAUAAUGACGAUGUUGGUCACAUGUCGAUGCACGAUACGGUGCUCUUCAAACGAUGCGUACGUUUGUACGCAUUACGCGUAUUUUUCAUUCACGUUUACCUCUUAAGUCGGUUAAAGACGGCCUGACCGCGUGGUUAAUCUAGAUGAGCGUCUUGUCAGCGGUAAUCAUGCGCAAAUAAACAUACAGGAAUCCCUGGUCCAAAUCUCAGCGCUCGUAAACAUUGUGACUACAGAGAAUAGUGUUACUACGCCGUUUUAUAGGUUUUUUUGGAGAGUCCGGCAAAACCCAUACCGCUCAAAUCUCUAGUCGGGCAAGCCGUUGAUGCCACCGCCUAGAAAAUAAUUUUGAAAACUCAUUCAUACUGCUGAAAUAUUUCGGAGCGUUAAAAAAAUUAAGAGUAAGUUUAUUGUUCUAAACGUCGCAGAGCAGACGAUCCUGAUAUAUGCUAUAGCUUCAGACGAUACCUGAGAUACGUUGUACAAUAUGGAAACUGAAUAUAGACUAGGCGGGACUACACAGUGUAAGCACUUAUUCUCAGGUAUUACUACGCAGCUGUCGUCUGUUAUAUACGGCUACUUAAAUUUAUGACCAGUGCGUUGUUGGUCGUUAAAAGGGCCAGUUUGGGGUGCGUCAGGCCGGCGUUUCUGUGUUGCCCACAAUUUUUCAGCUCGACAGAUGCAUAUGUCCUUCGGAUAUUUCGCCCAACUAAUGGCUAGUGGUAGUGGUAGUAUUAGCGUAUCCCAUAAUACCAUCGAUAAAGAUACCUGUGAAUUUGAAACUAUGGAAAAUUAAAUCUCUAGACGUCCCUUGCGCUUUAUCUCUUUGAGGAUCCAAUGACCAAUUCUUUGUCGAGCCAAACGUCUGGUUCUGUCUUUACAUGCUGUAACACUUAUAUUACGACGUACAGGACCAAAGGACGUUUGAUUCGUGAUCGGAGAAAGUCCUGCGGAGAUUCCACCACCUAAAGACGAUCCAGUAGUCAGAGAUACCUCUCGUUGUUUCUUGAAGAUAUACCUACCUUCGGAAGAUAGAAAACGGAAAUCCUAUACGAAGGCGGUGUCCAUUGAGAGCAGUCGCAUAUAAAAAAAAGAAAAGCCAGAGAAUGCUCCACCAAGUCAAUUUGCUAUACAUGACUGCUAAGGUAGUACUAAUCUUUAUAAUAUUGCUAUUGCACGUUACUUAUACAUCGCAUUAUAUAACCCGUGAUAUCUGCUCGCUUGGCCAGCGCUCCUGUCAGGUCCGAUCCGGUUAACCUUUUCAAAACCCGUACUAGGUAUUACAUAUACAAAACGAAGAUGAUCGGUGGAAACCUUUCUGAUAGGUUAACGCCUGUCUGCCGAGUUUGUUUCCGACACCCCGUAGUAAUAACGACCUACGCCGGUGGACGCGGCUGUUGGCGAUAAUCGUGACCAGGUCGGAACGCAAGUAACACCAGCUAUCACAGAAAUACUUUCAAAUUGACGCUGAUUGAUAUAGCUACUGUAUUGCGUAGUAUUCAAAGCGGUCGACCUUUUGUUGAUGCGGAAAACGUUGAAAUUAGUUGAGAACGAUAUAUAAGAAAGAAGAGCACCUUAUUGGAACCGAGGUUGCUGUAUAUAUAUAUAUAUAUAUUGUUGUUCCAAAUUUGUUUCUUCAAAAGCAGGAACAUACUUGUGGGAUAGGAUCGCGAGAUUGGAAUUAGUGAUUUCUGUUUUCAAAACCAUGAUACGCCGGUUUGUCCGCACAGUCAUAACUGGAAUCAAUUAAUUUGUUCAGGGAAAACUUUUUCGUCUGCUAAAAAGUCGUGAUCCGAAAUUAGUUGUCAGUUUAUAAACUAAAACUAUGUCCUUUCGAGAAUCACGAUCGAGGCCAGUUUUACCUCGAAAGAAUAGCUCGUGUUGCUCAUCUAAUGACUCUCGUUACUAGCGAAUGAUUCGUAGAUUCUUUCUUGUAGAUUUGGCAAUGGCGUUAAAAUAUCGUCAAAAGAGUUGAAAUAGACAUAGUUUCAAGGGACUUCCUGCGCUGACUUCGGUCAGUUGGGUCUCAUUCGGACACGACAGGUUUUAAUUAUCAUCUAGUAGAAUGGAAAAGAUGCCCUAGACCACGGAGUUGAACCAGGCAUUGUGAAAGAUUUUAUUAAGGUUGCGAGGGCUACCAGUGUUAGGCUGUGUUAUUGCCGCAGUGUUCGGGCAGAGUCGAAAACGAGGUCAGCCUUCGAAGGACAACGGCCUUGCGAAAGAACAGCCAAUGCGAUCGUAAGGUAAUUAGUAACCGAAAAACAAAGGCACACUAGACCAUCGAAAGCGAACAGAACGACCAUCAACAGCCUGUGUUACGCGCCUUAGGCAAUUAAAAGUGCGAACGGGGGCCAGGCUGCCUAUUAGAACAAUGCUUUUACGUCAGAGCUGUGACCCUGGAUUUCCCCGACCGCUACAAGAAGACUUGCCGCCUAUUGCUGUUAUAUGUAUGUGUGUCACUAGCAUCUUUAGAGGUACUAUUCUUCUAUGGCGAAGCGAACUGUUGCCGUCUACGCGAGUACUUAUUGACACAUCCAGUCCUUUAGAGCGGGAUGCUGUUAAAAUAGACAAAACGAAUUAGAAUUUCAACCUAUAGGCUGAUAUAGUAAUCGUCUAAAGGGAAAGAUCUAUUAUAGAUCAAGGUUACCGUACAUAGGCCGUUUGCGGAAAACUUUGAUGUUAUCUUGUAACUCAAUUGAAAAAAAUUGCCUUUGGGCAUAUUCAUUAACAAAAGGCGACUAAUACUAAUAUGUUAAAAUAAAGCACUAUUGUUAUAAGCUUAUUUAAUCACGCAUACUUACACCUCUCAACAAAACUGUGCACCAAUCGUUCAUGCUCUAACUUAGCAAAUUAUAUUUCGAAACGAAAACAGGUCCUAUGGACAAUUUCAUCCUGAUACAGCAGAUGAAUUUUAGUGUCAACUGGACGCCGUCGAUCAGGUGAAUCUGGGCUUUUCCUUCUUGCACGUACUUCAGCCCACAGUUGCCAAAUAGGAGUACACUCUUUUGAUGUUAAAAUAUAUUGAAAAAAUCUCUACUUUUAUCAUUCCCCUUUCAACGUAUCAUAACUCUCAGCUGCUCAGUAUAGACUGGGUGGCACAUUGCAGCCUAUCGGCGAUGAGGCGCCCCAGCAGGCUCUCGGCUGUUGAGGGCGAUCUUCAAUAAAUGAGCCACGAAUAUUCCUCUGUAGACUUGCGUAGGUUUUAUGAAGCGCGCAUUUUUCAAAUCCGUUUAGUCAUUUGUUUAAACAAGGCCCUCUCAAUUCUAUAUCCUAAUAUAGUUUUAGAAGGCCUACAAUUGCAAACACUGUCAUCGAUAGGGUUUAAAUCAAGGCAGUAGCCGUAUUUUGCUUAAGUCUGUGGAACGAUGAUACCAUCGCUUAUUUUCGCCAACUAUAUAACAACUGAAGUUUAUAAUGACUAAGGUGACGUACGGUUAUAAACCCUUGAUAAUGUUUGAAGCUAGAAACAGAUUCGUAUAGUUAUCAUUGUGGUGUCUUUCUGGCGAAGUGUUCCACAUCCAAUCAGCACUCAUCAUACACGUACGCUGUUCUAGAAAAGUUCCGUAAGUUAUUUGAUGCGCAAUUCGAUUGGGCGGAACUGAACUUGAGUGUCUGCCGCAACUUUGAAUGCUGAGGUUAUCAGUAUAGAUUUCACGUUGGCUAUCACACGUAAUAUUCGAUCAAACCCUAUUAGGGCUUCUUAUAGAUGACUUUUAAUAAUUUUAAACACAGCUCAUUGCGUAACUGAUUCAGCGCACUCAAAAUACAACUUGGAGCGCUUUAUAACUUCCAGCGUAUCCAGAAGUAUCUAUAACGCUAGGAAAACAUGAACAAUAACUUUGUUUCAUACUAAACCUCAAUAUGUACGUGUUGCCAAAAAUGUUUAAUAUUUUAAAAAAAUAUUAGUGAAUAUUUUUUUAAAUUUAGUACUGGCUAAGCAUUCUAUCCUAUACAUGCUCAGUAUGUAUGUAUGUAUGUAUAGAGGUGGCAAAGUAGAAAAUUGCUAAGAACGACCUUCUUUCUUCUAACUAGGAUUUUUUUGUUAUCCAACAGUUACGUCGGUGCAUUGAUCGAUGGUGCGCGGGCUGAUAUUCGCUCGGUCUCGAGCAAACUAGGUUUUUUUUUUACUUGCCUUACGUUGACACCCAACUGACUUUUACAAUUUUGAGAAUUUUAAUCAAAAUGUCUACCUAUUGGCGUGCUAUUGAUUAUUUGAAUAUUCUUUCGUACAAUAGGAAGACGAUUUUUCGACAUGGAACGACAUUCGGUUUCAACAAGUUAUGCACUAUAAGUUCACUGACCGUUCAGCCCGCUCCAUCUACCAAUUGCAAGUUAGCGUAAUAAAAAGCUGUUUCUAUUCGACCCGGUAAACACCCGGAAAGGUCACCCACUACGAUGUAUGUUGAUAAUUGAUAUUUUAGUAAUUUCAAAAAGUAUAAUGAUAUGAGAUGUUCUCACAAGCAUCGACGCGGUAUUAAAAACGAUGCAGUUACGGUUAAACGCGCAUGUCUGCAAGUUACUAAUUGCCUCUAUAAAAUACGGCCCAGGAACACUAUAACGCUGCCUUUUUAGAUGCUGAGUAUUGAAGUGCCCGUCUUGUAAGUUCAUUCCGGAAGUAUGCAUAUCCUGUUCCACUAGGAAUAGGCGCUUACAUACUGCUAAUUAACUGGAAACUUCAAAGUAAAAGCAAUGAAUCACCAGAGUCCUUGUUUAGCUUAUUUUCCCAGACAAGCGAAUACAUAUUUUCGCGCUAUUUAUGAUGUUUUUCGAUAGAUUUUCUUGUCAUUAUAUAUGUAUAAUUUGAUCAUUAGCGAUUAUUCACGAACACCUUCGUGUAUAGAUCUUGAUUAUACAGUAAGAUCAAGCGUGUACGUUGUUUGUAGCAAAUCCUUAGUAAAGAAUCUUUAGAGACGCGCAAAAGCGGUACGGGUAUGUAUAUAAGCGGAUUUUUCGAUCAUGACGUAAAUAAAAAUGCUCAUUACACGGCUAUUGGAUUCAAGUGGAUCCUAUAGCUUAAACAUUGGA